UGGGUGCGUUUCCAUUUUAAGUGCUCUGU
rnacentral:piRNA from 1 species